rnacentral:rRNA from 1 species
GCGGCAAAGCUCAAAUUUGAAAUCUGGCGUCUUCGACGUCCGAGUUGUAAUUUGAAGAAGGCGACUUUGUAGCUGGUCCUUGUCUAUGUUCCUUGGAACAGGACGUCAUAGAGGGUGAGAAUCCCGUGUGGCGAGGAUCCCAGUUAUUUGUAAAGUGCUUUCGACGAGUCGAGUUGUUUGGGAAUGCAGCUCUAAGUGGGUGGUAAAUUCCAUCUAAAGCUAAAUAUUGGCGAGAGACCGAUAGCGAACAAGUACAGUGAUGGAAAGAUGAAAAGAACUUUGAAAAGAGAGUGAAAAAGUACGUGAAAUUGUUGAAAGGGAAGGGCAUUUGAUCAGACAUGGCGUUUGCUUCGGCUUUCGCUGGGCCAGCAUCAGUUUUAGCGGUUGGAUAAAUCCUCGGGAAUGUGGCUCUGCUUCGGUAGAGUGUUAUAGCCCGUGGGAAUACAGCCAGCUGGGACUGAGGAUUGCGACUUUUGUCAAGGAUGCUGGCGUAAUGGUUAAAUGCCGCCCGUCUUGAACCACGG